rnacentral:rRNA from 1 species
UACGAAGGGUGCAAGCGUUAUUCGGAAUUAUUGGGCGUAAAGGGCGCGUAGGCGGCUUUGCAAGUGACGGGUGAAAGCCCUCGGCUUAACCGAGGAACUGCCUGUCAGACUGUGAGGCUUGAGACCGGGAGAGGUGAGUGGAAUUCCCAGUGUAGCGGUGAAAUGCGUAGAUAUUGGGAGGAACACCAGUGGCGAAGGCGGCUCACUGGACCGGAACUGACGCUGAGGCGCGAAAGCGUGGGGAGCAAACAGG